GAUUAACGCUGGCGGCGUGCCUAACACAUGCAAGUCGAACGAGGUAGCAAUACCUAGUGGCAGACGGGUGAGUAACGCGUGGUCAACCUACCGUUGAGUGGGGGAUAACUAGCCGAAAGGUUAGCUAAUACCGCAUACGUCUCCGAGGGGCAUCCCUUGGCGAUAAAAGGAGCAAUCCGCUCGAUGACGGGACCGCGUCCCAUUAGCUAGAUGGUGGGGUAACGGCCUACCAUGGCACCGANGGGUAGCUGGUUUGAGAGAGCGACCAGCCACACUGGGACUGAGAAACGGCCCAGACUCCUACGGGAGGCAGCAGUGAGGAAUUUUCCGCAAUGGGCGCAAGCCUGACGGAGCGACGCCGCGUGUGGGAAGAAGGCCUUC
rnacentral:rRNA from 1 species